rnacentral:lncRNA from 1 species
UGCUGUGGCCAUGGUAUAGGCUGGCAUGACAACUCCAAUUUGAUCCCUAGCCUGGAAACUUCCAUAUGCUGCAGAUGUAGCCCUAAAAAGACCAAAAAAAAAAAAAAAAAAAAAAAAAAAAAGGUAAGGAGCUCACCUUUGAACACAGCUCAGAUGUUGUUGGAAAGCUUCUGUUACAAGAAAGUUUGAAGAGAAAAAGCCAUUGACUGGAGGGGUAGUUCAGAGUAGUAGUUUGGAUCCUGGUUUCAAAUCCUGGCUUUAUCCCUUAUCAGCUGUGUGACUUUAAACAAGUUGUCUAACCUCUCAGUUAUAACAUGAGUGUAAUAAUUGCACCACUAUUACAAUGUUAUAAAAAUUAAAUUAGUAGUUAUAAAAUGCUUAGAGUAGAACCAGCUACAUAGUAAACUAGUUAGAUUGAUGCUAGAAAUAUAAAUAGAUAGAUAGAUAGGAAUAAAAAGUAAAAAAAAAAAAAGAAAGCAAGUGUUCAAGGAAGCUUCCAUUAUGCCAGUGUUCAAAUUCCAAUACCAAUACUAGCUUUCCAGAAUAUUCCAUCUGAAUUCUAAGAAAGCACUUAAUAUUGUUGAUUAAAUAUUUAAAUUACAUUUAUUAUAGCUAGUCUUGUGUUCAUUUUUAGAUAGGCCAAAUUUAUGAGGCAGCAAAGUUGUAAUAUUACGUGUGAUGGGUACAGUUUUAUAGCGCACUUGGGCCCCUUGUAUAAUCAACAUGUUCCUUUCUGCCCAUUUGAUAGGACCAGGGAUAUAAUGAUGAUAUUUUAAAUUAUUAUACAGGCCUAACAUUGUUCUAUCUUCGCCUUUAUAGCAUAUUGUGGAUCAUAUCUCUGAUUUAUUUGAAAAACAAAUCCUUGUUCAGGAACACAAUUUCCAAUUACAAAAUUACUCCUAGGGGAAAAUACAAGCUGUUUUAUGGUGUGAUUUCCAAGAAUGCAUUGUGGUGUGAAGUAGAAAUUACCUACAUCAAUUUUGCUUUCUUUUAUUUAUUUGCAAACAGAUCGGCACAAAAUGUGUUUCCGGGUCCUAUUAUCUGGGCUCCGGUUUUAUUUCUUUGCUCAUGUUCUCACCUUGUACCUGUCACCAGUCUCUUAUCUUUUUGUCUGAUUUUAAGUCUUUGGUUAAAUGUAUUGUCCAGGCAGCCACUUCUUCCCACUGGGUUUUAUUGUUUAUUGUUACCGAGUCCCUAUUUUCUCUGCCAGUCUUCCUUUUACGCAGAAUAUCUGUCUUGAGCGUCCAUUCU